UUUUAAUUUGUUUUAACAAAAAUUUGCUUUAUUUGCAUCUGUCAACCUUCAUGAAGGAGGACAUCUUGUAAUGUAAAUAUUGCCUGAAAUAAACGAUAUUUCAUUAUAUUAUAUUAUAUAUAUUUAUUAGAUUCCUUUCAUUUGCCGGAAAUUUUACCAUAGGGGUUAAUUUAUACAGAGAAGAUUUCUUAUAAAAUAUUUACAGCAUAGUUAUGUGUCUCAAAUCUGCUAAAAGUGGCCACUUUUAGCAGAUAUGAGAUACAUAACUAUACUUCGAACUUUUCAUAUGAAAUCAUAACUGCAUAAAUACCCCCCUAUGAUAAAAUUUUCGGCAAAUCAUAGAAAUCUAACGUAGCUAUAGUACUGUAGUUAAAACGAAUUAAAAACUUCUAGCGCUAGCUACUUCCGUGCCCUUUCACCUUAAGGGUAUUUAUUUUUCUUCUGAAGUAAAAUUCGAGCGGUGCAUGCUGUCUUAUGUCUGAUGUCAGCAUUAUUAAUAUAUUAUGUUAUCAUAUUAUUAAUAUAUUGUUUUUGUUUUCAGAUAUUUGGCAACUGGUAAUACAUUCACUGAUCUACACUAUUCCUAUGUGAUUGGAAUUGCAACAAUUAGCGAAAUAAUCCAUGAAUGUCAAGUUAGAUCUAGCACAAUUAAUAGUCAAGACGGCAUGUGUACUUCACAAUUUCAUAAGGAAACGGGAUGGCUACAAGGUCAGCCAUACAUUUGUCACAAAUGGUUUUACGGGACCACUACCCAGGCAGCAGACUGAAAGUAGUAAUACGUCGGCAAGUAAUAUCAGAGAUAUAUUUGCAGAUUACUUUAUCAAUGAAGGAAAAGUCUCCUGGCAACACCGAUAUAUAAUUAAUUAACUAAACUCAAAAGGUUUUAGAAGGUUUUUGAUGUUAUUUGUGAAUUAAAUAAUUAUGCUUAUAUUAAUAAAGUAAUGAUGCUUGUAUAAAUAAAAUAAUGAACCAAACACAUA